rnacentral:rRNA from 1 species
AUGGGAACGCGAAGAACCUUACCUAGACUUGACAUCUUCUGCAUUAAUCGUAAUGGAUGAAAUCCCUUCGGGGACAGAAUGACAGGUGGUGCAUGGUUGUCGUCAGCUCGUGUUGCGAAAUGUUGGGUUAAGUCCCGCAACGAGCGCAACCCUUAUUACUAGUUGCUACCAUUAAGUUGAGCACUCUAGUGAGACUGCCCGGGUUAACCGGGAGGAAGGCGGGGAUGACGUCAAAUCAUCAUGCCCCUUAUGUCUAGGGCAACACACGUGCUACAAUGGUGAGUACAGAUAGAUGCGAUACCGCAAGGUGGAGCCAAACUCUAAAACUCAUCCCAGUUCGGAUUGUAGGCUGCAACUCGCCUACAUGAAGUUGGAGUUGCUAGUAAUCGCGAAUCAGAAUGUCGCGGUGAAUACGUUCCCGGGUCUUGUACACACCG